rnacentral:rRNA from 1 species
UACGUAGGGGGCUAGCGUUGUCCGGAAUCAUUGGGCGUAAAGCGCGUGUAGGCGGUUCGGUAAGUCCGCUGUGAAAGUCGGGGGGCUCAACCCUCGAAAGCCGGUGGAUACUGUCCGGGCUAGAGUCGAGCGGAGAGUCGGAAUCGAUCGUGGUAGCGGCGGGUAAAUGCGCAGAUAUCAGGAGGAACACCCAUGGCGAAGG